AGUGAACGCUGGCGGUAGGCCUAACACAUGCAAGUCGAACGGCAGCACAGUAAGAGCUUGUUCUUACGGGUGGCGAGUGGCGGACGGGUGAGGAAUACAUCGGAAUCUACUUUUUCGUGGGGGAUAACGUAGGGAAACUUACGCUAAUACCGCAUACGACCUACGGGUGAAAGCAGGGGAUCUUCGGACCUUGCGCGAUUGAAUGAGCCGAUGUCGGAUUAGCUAGUUGGCGGGGUAAAGGCCCACCAAGGCGGCGAUCCGUAGCUGGUCUGAGAGGAUGAUCAGCCACCCUGGAACUGAAACACGGUCCCGACUCCUACGGGAGGCAGCAGUGGGGAAAAUUGGACAAUGGGCGCAAGCCUGAUCCAGCCAUACCGCGUGGGUGAAGAAGGCCUUCGGGUUGUAAAGCCCUUUUGUUGGGAAAGAAAAGCAGCAGGUUAAUACCCCGCUGUUCUGACGGUACCCAAAGAAUAAGCACCGGCUAACUUCGUG
rnacentral:rRNA from 1 species